GGCCAAUGUUCAAAUGCGCAGCUCUUAGUCGCGGGCCGACUGGUGUUUAUCCGUCACUCGCCGAGGUUCCUUGGGUCAUGGUGCCAGCCUGACUGAGAAGAGGACGCUCCCGGGAGACGAAUGAGGAACCACCUCCUCCUACUGUUCAAGUACAGGGGCCUGGUCCGCAAAGGGAAGAAAAGCAAAAGACGAAAAUGGCUAAAUUCGUGAUCCGCCCAGCCACUGCCGCCGACUGCAGUGACAUACUGCGGCUGAUCAAGGUUACAGUCUCUAGCUUCGCCAUGUACAUGGCCCUUCCGUGUACAUGGAUGGGCGGGGAGGUAACUAAAAGAUCCUUUACACAAUAAAGUAGAUGAUCAUGAUAAAUGAGGUAAGGUCCUAUUAUCACACACUUCAAACACGGUAGAUCAGAAACCCACUAUGAUACUCGCUUCCUGUCUGUUUGCU
rnacentral:lncRNA from 1 species